UUAAGUAGACCGCCUGGGGAGUACGGCCGCAAGGUUAAAACUCAAAUGAAUUGACGGGGGCCCGCACAAGCGGUGGAGCAUGUGGUUUAAUUCGAUGCAACGCGAAGAACCUUACCUGGUCUUGACAUCCACAGAAGUUUGCAGAGAUGCGAAUGUGCCUUCGGGAACUGUGAGACAGGUGCUGCAUGGCUGUCGUCAGCUCGUGUUGUGAAAUGUUGGGUUAAGUCCCGCAACGAGCGCAACCCUUAUCCUUUGUUGCCAGCGGUUAGGCCGGGAACUCAAAGGAGACUGCCAGUGAUAAACUGGAGGAAGGUGGGGAUGACGUCAAGUCAUCAUGGCCCUUACGACCAGGGCUACACACGUGCUACAAUGGCGCAUACAAAGAGAAGCGACCUCGCGAGAGCAAGCGGACCUCAUAAAGUGCGUCGUAGUCCGGAUUGGAGUCUGCAACUCGACUCCAUGAAGUCGGAAUCGCUAGUAAUCGUGGAUCAGAAUGCCACGGUGAAUACGUUCCCGGGCCUUGUACACACCGCCCGUCACACCAUGGGAGUGGGUUGCAAAAGAAGUAGGUAGCUUAACCUUCGGGAGGGCGCUUACCACUUUGUGAUUCAUGACUGGGGUGAAGUCGUAACAAGGUAACCGUAGGGGAACCUGCGGUUGGA
rnacentral:rRNA from 1 species